GUAAAGAUUUUAAGGGCGUACGGUGGAUGCCUUGGCUAUACUGGCCGAUGAAGGACGCGGUAAGCUGCGAUAAGCUACGGAGAGGUGCAAGCAACCUUUGACCCGUAGAUUUCCGAAUGGGGGAACCCGGCGGAAGUUAUGUUCCGUCACCCAUACCUUAGAGUAUGAGGAGGGCACCUGGGGAACUGAAACAUCUAAGUACCCAGAGGAAGAGUAAUCAAACGAGAUUCUCCUAGUAGCGGCGAGCGAACGGGGAAGAGCCCAAACCGGAUCGGGAAACCGAACCGGGGUUGAGGACUGUCAUCAAGUGUAAAUGAGAUAGAAGAAUCGUGCUGGAACGCACAGCCGUAGAAGGUGAAAGCCCUGUACUCGAAAUCUUGCAUGCAUGGGACAGUAUCCAGAGUACCACGAGACACGUGAAACCUUGUGGGAAGCAGGGGGGACCACCCUCCAAGGCAAAAUACCAGUAUGGACCGAUAGCGCAUAGUACCGUGAGGGAAAGGUGAAAAGCACCCCGGGAGGGGAGUGAAAGAGAACCUGAAACCGUAUGUCUACAAACAGUCGAAGCGCGUAUAAUUGCAGCGCGACGGCGUGCCUAUUGAAGAAUGAACCGGCGAGUUACUGUUACUAGCGAGGUUAAGUGGAAAACAUGGAGCCGAAGCGAAAGCGAGUCUGAAUAGGGCGAUUAGUUAGUGAUAGUAGACCCGAAACCGUAGUGAUCUAUCCAUGGCCAGGUUGAAGCACAGGUAAAAUUGUGUGGAGGACCGAACUCGUGAGCGUUGAAAAGCUUUGGGAUGAGCUGUGGAUAGGGGUGAAAUGCCAAUCGAACACGGAGAUAGCUGGUUCUCCCCGAAAUAGCUUUAGGGCUAGCCUCAUGGAGAGAGUAUAGGCGGUAGAGCACUGAUCGGGCUAGGGCCCAUACCGGGUACCGAACCUAGUCAAACUACGAAUGGCUAUACUUAUACAUGGGAGUCAGACUAUGAGUGAUAAGGCCCAUAGUCAAGAGGGAAACAGCCCAGACCACCAACUAAGGUCCCUAAUGCUGUACUAAGUGGCGAAGGAUGUGGAAUUUCUAAAACAACCAGGAUGUUGGCUUAGAAGCAGCCACCAUUUAAAGAGUGCGUAAUAGCUCACUGGUCGAGAGACUCUGCGCCGAAAAUGUCCGGGGCUAAAGUACAGAACCGAAGUUGUGGCAAAUGCAGUAAUG
rnacentral:rRNA from 1 species